AACGAACGCUGGCGGCAGGCUUAACACAUGCAAGUCGAGCGAGGACUUCGGUCCUAGCGGCGGACGGGUGAGUAACGCGUGGGAACGUGCCCGAAGGUACGGAAUAGCCCCGGGAAACUGGGAGUAAUGCCGUAUGUGCCCGGGAGGGGAAAGAUGUAUCGCCUUCGGAUCGGCCCGCGGUGGAUUAGGUAGUUGGUGGGGUAAUGGCCUACCAAGCCGACGAUCCAUAGCUGGUUUGAGAGGAUGAUCCGCCACAAGGGGACUGAGACACCGCCCAGACUCCUACGGGAGGGAGCAGUGGGGAAACUUGGACAAUGGGGGGAACCCUGAUCCCGCCAUGCCGCGGGAACGAUUAAGGCCCUAGGGUUGUAAAGAUCUUUCAGCUGGGAAGAUAAUGACGGUACCAGCAGAAGAAGCCCCGGCUAACUCCGUGCCAGCAGCCGCGGUAAUAC
rnacentral:rRNA from 1 species